ensembl:lncRNA
AUGGAAUGGGCUGACCCUUGGUUUUGUGGUUCUGGCAGAAGUAGUGUUACCUGUGAUGGCUGGACUGUGUGCCCUCUAAUGUCCAGGAGUAUGGAUUGCUUGAUAAAUGCUAUAUUCUCACCUACCUGCAUUGCCCGGUUGCCGGUGGGGGAAGAUGACUGUGGGCUGGGGAGGCUGCAAUUUCAACCCUGCUUGCUGUUUGAGCGGCAUCCGAUUCAAGUGCUGACUCCUUUGGUGCUGAGAUGGAGCAGGUGCGUUCAGACUUUUCUGCUGGGGGAAAAGAAAAAUGGUGUCAUUUCAGCAGUUUCCUCUCUGCAUUAAGCAAAAGAGGGCCAGUUGUGCUCAACGUUCUUCAGUAGCACGGUUAGCUGAGUACGUGCUCUCCCUGAUGUCCCCUAAAAAAUAGAAGUUGUUCCACGCUUUUAAUGGAAGCACAGAAUAACCAAAAAAACCUUUUUUUAAAGUUUCUAAUCUCCUACAUAAUCCUCCUUCUACAAUUACCUCCAAAUGCUAGAAAACUAUGUGGCAGGGCUGUUCUUCCUCAGCUCUAAGUUUUAUCUCCUCCUUCCUGAGUAUGCUGCUGCAAGUGCGCAGCUUCAAACUGCCUGGCUCGUGAUGGGUUUUCUUAUGCGAGCCCGAGCUAUCCAAGCACGGUCUACUUAUAGCUGUCUCAGUUAACUGUCUCUUUGCAGCCUUUCCUUUAAAAUAGAAGUCCCUUCACAGUUGCAGAAUAGGGGUGGCAUUUCCCAGAAACUAAGUACGCCUUGUGGCAGAAGAAGUAGAAGCAAGAACUGUUCAUUUCCAUCACAACUUCAAUUUGCAAUGGCUGUUUCUCAUUUUUUAAUUGAGGUAUGAGACCACGGCAACUAUUAGACUAAGUCUAAGUCUAUCUUUGUUUCUUUCUGGAGCGUGCAGGUUGAUGGAAGGCUGGACAGGGCUGAGCGAUCCGAUCCUGCUGUAGCUGGCUCCAAUUGGCGUGGGGGAAGUUGGACCAGGUGGCUGUUAUGGGUCCCUGCCACCCUGAGUGACUUCAAAAUUCUGUGAUAAGUCAGUGCUUAAAAACCCAUGUAAUCUAACAGCUAUGCUAUUGAACAGCUACCAGUAAUGACAUUAUUGAGUUAACUGUAUUUACACUACAGUUUAAAUAAUUAAUUAAACUAUAAGUAACAGUUACAUAGAUGUUGGAAAGAAUGAAGAAUAGUUUAGAAACAUUUUGUUGUAUAAAAUCCAGGUUAGAAGAGAAACCAUGGCACUUGUUAUGUAAGUUUCUUGCACGGUAUUAUGUGUAUCAGAAAAUGCUUUGUAACGUGUAGAUGAUACUAGACUUCCAGAACUACUCUACUGCUAAAUUAAACCUAUUUACAGCUGUGCCAAUAUAUAAUGUCUGAGCCUUGUUCUUUUGUCUUUCUGCCUUUUAUUUAAGGAAUGUAAAGUUAAAUAACUUCGUGGGUGUCAGGAGGUGGUUAUACUAGGUUUGUUGGGCAUUAUUUUAAAAUGACGCAUUUCCCCAGUGAUGCUCCAAUAUUUCUAAACACCUUGUAGCUUCCAUCUUGGUAUCCUUAUGUGCUACUGUCAGGCUUAAGGUCUUUACGCACAGCCUCCUUCUCUCCAACUUAUGCUAUGAAGCUUCUCCUGUGUCACAUUACCAAAAUAAAGUAUGUAUACACUAUGUGCUUUCA